rnacentral:sRNA from 12 species
GAAGUGCGAACCAAGCGGGCGCGUAAAAGCGUCGUGAGACUUGGAGCUGGCCUUGGUAACGAGGCCAUGUA